rnacentral:rRNA from 1 species
CAGAGGGGGCAAGCGUUAUUCGGAAUUAUUGGGCGUAAAGGGCGCGUAGGCGGCCUUGCAAGUGACGGGUGAAAUCCCUCGGCUUAACCGAGGAACUGCCUGUCAAACUGCAUGGCUUGAGACCAGGAGAGGUGAGUGGAAUUCCCAGUGUAGCGGUGAAAUGCGUAGAUAUUGGGAGGAACACCAGUGGCGAAGGCGGCUCACUGGACUGGUACUGACGCUGAGGCGCGAAAGCGUGGGGAGCAAACAGGAUUAGAUACCCUGGUAGUCCACGCCGUAAACGAUGAGUGCUUGGUGUAGCGGGUAUCGACCCCUGCUGUGCCGAAGUCAACACAUUAAGCACUCCGCCUGGGGAGUACGGUCGCAAGGCUG